GACCAGACUCCUACGGGAGGCAGCAGUGAGGAAUAUUGGUCAAUGGUCGGGAGACUGAACCAGCCAAGCCGCGUGAGGGAUGAAGGUACAGAGUAUCGUAAACCUCUUUUGCCGGGGAGCAAGGGCCGGGACGCGUCCCGGCCCGGAGAGUACCCGGAGAAAAAGCAUCGGCUAACUCCGUGCCAGCAGCCGCGGUAAUACGGAGGAUGCGAGCGUUAUCCGGAUUUAUUGGGUUUAAAGGGUGCGUAGGCGGGCUUUUAAGUCAGCGGUAAAAAUGCGGGGCUCAACCCCGUCCGGCCGUUGAAACUGGGGGCCUUGAGUGGGCGAGAAGAAGGCGGAAUGCGUGGUGUAGCGGUGAAAUGCAUAGAUAUCACGCAGAACUCCGAUUGCGAAGGCAGCAUACCGGCGCGCAACUGACGCUCAUGCACGAAAGCGUGGGUAUCGAACAGGAUUAGAUACCCUCGUACA
rnacentral:rRNA from 1 species